ensembl:snoRNA
AUGCUUUUGUAGUUCAUAAGAGUGAUAAUUGGGUUAUCAUGUGACUGCAUGAGGUGUGCCACCCACAAACCUUGUUACAACAUCGGCACAUCACCCUUUUGACA